GAUGAACGCUGACAGAAUGCUUAACACAUGCAAGUCUACUUGAACUUCGGUUUGGGUGGCGGACGGGUGAGUAACGCGUAAAGAACUUGCCUCACAGUUAGGGACAACAUUUGGAAACGAACGCUAAUACCUGAUAUUAUGAUUUUAUGGCAUCCUAGGAUUAUGAAAGCUAUAUGUGCUGUGAGAGAGCUUUGCGUCCCAUUAGCUAGUUGGAGAGGUAACGGCUCACCAAGGCGAUGAUGGGUAGCCGGCCUGAGAGGGUGAACGGCCACAAGGGGAAUGAGACACGGCCCUUACUCCUACGGGAGGAAGCAGUGGGGAAUAUUGGACAAUGGACCAAAAGUCUGAUCCAGCAAUUCUGUGUGCAAGAUGACGUUUUUCGGAAUGUAAAGUGCUUUCAGUUGGGAAGAAAAAAAUGACGGUACCAACAGAAGAAGUGACGGCUAAAUACGUG
rnacentral:rRNA from 1 species